rnacentral:rRNA from 1 species
GAUGAACGCUGGCGGCGUGCCUAAUACAUGCAAGUCGAGCGAACAGACGAGGAUCUUGCUCCUUUCACGUGAGCGGCGGACGGGUGUGUAACACGUAUGUAAUCCACCUAUAAGACUGGUAUAACUUCGGGAAACCGGAGCUAAUCCCGUAGAAUCUUUCGAAGCGCGGGGUUGGAUAGUGAGAGUCGGCUGUGCUAGCACGUAUCGCUGCUCCUGCGCCGGAUUGGCUAGUUGGUAAGGUAACAGGUUACUAAGGGGAGCAGGCGUAGGCGACGUCAGGGGCUGGUCGGCGACCUGGGAACUGGGCCACGGUCCAGACGCCUACGGGAGGCCGCAGUCGGCAAUCUUCCGCAAUAGGCGGAAGCAUGACGCAACAGCGGCGAGCGAGUGAUGAAGGUCUUCGGUUCGUAAAAAUCUGUUAUUAGGGAAGAACCGACGUGUACGUAACUGUACACGGCCUGACGGUAACUAAUCAGAAAGCACCGGCUAACUACGUG